CCUACGGGAGGCAGCAGUAGGGAAUUUUCGUCAAUGGGCGCAAGCCUGAACGAGCGAUGCCGCGUGAGUGAAGAAGGCCUUCGGGUCGUAAAGCUCUGUUGCGGGGGAAAAAAGUCAGCAUCAGUAAAUGGGAGCUGACUGCUGGUUCCCCGCCAGAAAGUCACGGCUAACUACGUGCCAGCAGCCACGGUAAUACGUAGGUGGCUAGCGUUAUCCGGGGUGAUUGGGCGUGAAGGGUGCGCAGGCGGUCUUGCAAGCCUGGAGUGAAACGCCUCAGCUCAACUCAUGAAUUGCUUUGGAAACUGGUGGACUGGAGGGCAGGAGAGGCUAGUGGAAUUCCAGGUGUAGGAGUGAAAUGCGUAGAUAUCAGGAGGAACAUCAGUGGCGAAGGCGACUAUCUAGACCGUAACUGACGCUGAGGAGCGAAAGCGUGGGUAGCAAACAGGAUUAGAUACCCGGGUAGUC
rnacentral:rRNA from 1 species